rnacentral:lncRNA from 1 species
UAUUAAUUCAUUUUUUGUUUUAUUUUUACUGAUAUACACAAAAAAUGAGAGAAUACAAAUGCCCUGAGGCUAUUUAAAUGGGCAUGACACUUUUAUUUUAUGACAGCCAGUUGCUUCCCAGGAAAUUCCAAUCAAGCCUUCUUUCUAGUAUGGCAAGUAGUGUUGGGUGCAGUGCAGAAGUAAAGUAUCUUGAAGACAAUCAGAAUAAAGAAUAUUAUAGUUGUUUUUGUAUGAGAAAUAAUUUUUGUAUAUGUCGGAUUUUCUUUCUUUUUAAUCUAAAUUCAAAAAUUUAUAAAAAAUUAAAAUGAAAGUUACUGAAAUGAAUGAAAAACAUGC